rnacentral:rRNA from 1 species
CCUACGGGUAGCAGCAGUAGAGAAUUAUUCACAAUGGGGGAAACCCUGAUGGGGCGACGCCGCGUGGGGGAAUGAAGGUCUCCGGAUUGUAAACCCCGGUCAUGUGGGAGCAAAUUAGAACGAUAGUACCACAAGAGGAAGAGACUGCCAACCCUGUGCCAGCAGCCGCGGUAAUACCGAGGACGCAAGCUUUGUCCGGAAUCACUGGGCGUAAUGGGUGUGUAGGCGGUUUAGUAAGUCGGAUGUGAAAGGCGCGGGCUCAACCUGCGGACGGCACAUGAAACUGUGAGACUAGAGUAAAGGAGGGGGAACCGGAAUUCUCGGUGUAGCGGUGAAAUGCGUAGAUA